AAAAUAUUCGCAUUUCACAAAACAUCUACAAAGCCACUAGAGAUUGAUGGAGAAUGGAGCAAUUUUCUGAUUUUUGGAUUGCAAAAAUAAAAUGAGUAAAAGCUUCAACCACCUCCAUAACUUUGCCUCCUUCCUCACUCUUCCAUGGGAACUUGGCAAACAUGCCACCACCCUCCAUUCUUUUCCUCUGCCCAAAAAUCUGUCACUAAUCCAUCUUCUUAGCUUCCUCAAGUCAAAAUUCAGAAAUAUUUACUCCAAUCUUCUUCCUCCCAACUACUGAAUUAGUGUUCAUAAACCCACUAUAAGUCUAUAAAUGGCCAUGAAAUCCAUCACCAAGAACACACCAAUUCUACAAACUUCCUCCUCUCACUUCUUACUUCACCACCACCUACGAACCACCUUUCCAACACCACAAUUUCAGUUAAAACUUCGUCGAAAAAUGUGACCAAAGGAACCCAAAAAGAAAACCGCAAUUUUCUCUAUCUCUUCUAUGUUUCGGACCUUCCACCAUCACCACCACGGUUGCGCUCAGUCGCGCGCCCUCCCCCUGCCUCGGCCGUCACUCGCCGGCCACCUGCGCGACUCAUCGGAGCUCCGCCGCGCUUGCACCUCACGUUCUCUCUCUUCCUCGCACUCUUCUCUCUCGUCGCUCCUCUCUGUCGCGCCUAGCUGUGCGCACACCACCGACGACCUCCGUCCGCCACCGUCGCUGAAUGCCGCAUCGUCGCGCCAUCGCUGCCUUUCGCCGGAGUCGUCCCCCUGCCACAGCACCGUCGUCCCUACUCUAAGAAGCAGAGAUUAAAUAAGAUAAAGGAUAUUCCAAGCCUCUCCCGGCUAUCAAGGUGGUUAAGCGAAAAUCCAGAUCUCCCGUCAAUCUUCGAAGUGAACGAAGCGAUGCCGACGAAGCCGCCAAGCGAAGCCACCGGCAUUCGUCGUUCGAGUUUCAAGAUCUAGAUAUUUUCCCUUUUUUCUUUAAUUUUUAAUUUUUAAUUUUUUGUUAAUUCUCUGUAAUGCGAGCGUUCGAGUCAAUUUUUUUCUUUUUCGUUUUUUUUUUAUUUUUCCUUGUUAAUCUUUUUUCAUUUUUUUAUAUUUUGUAAUUAGGGUUUGUAAAAUAUUAUUUUUAUUGAAUAUAUAGUAGUUUGGGUUGA